UAGGGAAUCUUCGGCAAUGGACGAAAGUCUGACCGAGCAACGCCGCGUGAGUGAAGAAGGUUUUCGGAUCGUAAAACUCUGUUGUUAGAGAAGAACAAGGACGUUAGUAACUGAACGUCCCCUGACGGUAUCUAACCAGAAAGCCACGGCUAACUACGUGCCAGCAGCCGCGGUAAUACGUAGGUGGCAAGCGUUGUCCGGAUUUAUUGGGCGUAAAGCGAGCGCAGGCGGUUUCUUAAGUCUGAUGUGAAAGCCCCCGGCUCAACCGGGGAGGGUCAUUGGAAACUGGGAGACGUGAGUGCAGAAGAGGAGGGUGGAAUUCCAUGUGUAGCGGUGAAAUGCGUAGAUAUAUGGAGGAACACCAGUGGCGAAGGCGGCUCUCUGGUCUGUAACUGACGCUGAGGCUCGAAAGCGUGGGGAGCAAACAGG
rnacentral:rRNA from 1 species